UGCGUUUUCGCUGCGUCUCUAUGUUGAUGUUCGCGAGCCCUAGCAGGGGAGAGAGUUACGUCGCAACUGCAGUGGCUCCGAGGCUGCAGGCUUGUUUUUCUUUGGCUCCUCGUUUGAAAGCCUAUGGAGCGAUAAGUUUCGAAAAAUGUCGAAGGAACGCGAAAGGAGUGACAAAAUAAGUGCCAAAUUCAAAAGGAACGUCAAUCAUCGAGCUUUGUUCAAACCGAGGACCAAACGAGAGGACGACGAUGAAUUGUCCUAUCGACUCGUUAUCAGUGCACGGAAAACUGGCAAAUUGAAUUUGGCCUCGAGAGGCCUGGCCACCGUUCCCAACAAAAUAUGGACGAUCAAUGACCUGACCAAUGAGGAAAUCGAAGAAUUGCGCCUUAAUUUGGACUUUGAGGAUGAACGAGACCCCUGGUGGGAACAAGAACCGUUGAAAGCGCUCAACCUGAGCUCUAACUCAAUCACAAACGUCGAUCCGAAAAUAGAGUACCUUGGAGAACUCACAGAUUUGGAUUUUUCGCACAAUCUGCUCGAAGAAUUGCCCCAGGAAAUAGGAACUUUGAGAAAGCUUGAGAGAUUGGAUUUGUCGCGUAAUAAACUGGGCAGGAUCGACGACAGUUUUUACAAGUUGUCGGAGUUGAGGCAGUUGAAUUUGUCCAGCAACAAGCUCGUCGAGCUGAGUCCGUCGAUCGGUGACUUAGUAAUGCUGGAAAGUUUGAAUCUCUCUUGCAACGAGUUGAUUGAAUUGCCUGUUGGAAUGGGAUACUUGGUACGUUUGGUGAACCUCGACAUAAGCCACAAUCAACUGCGGGAGCUGCCGCCCGAUAUAAUGAGCAUGAGAGUUCUUAAAAAAUUAGACGCCAGUUUCAAUAAGUUGGAAGUUGUACCAGCACUCGGUGAAUUGAGGAAAGUUGAGCUAAUCGUCAUGCACAACAAUCAAUUAUCGACCUUCCCCGAUUUAACCGGUUGUACAGCAUUGCGUGACCUUGACUUGGCUAACAAUAAUAUUACUGAAAUAAAAAUGGAGUAUUUGGAAGACAUGGGACAACUGAGGAGCCUCAGAAUCGACAGCAACAAAGUUAAAGAGAUUCCUGAGGAAAUUGUCAAGUUACUCAACCUCGAGCAUCUCGAUCUUUCGUGCAACGAGUUAUCCAACAUACCUAACUUUAUCAGUAUAAUGCCGAACCUCAAAUACUUUGGGAUCGAAGGUAACGACGUCAAAAAUAUCCGACGUGAUAUCAUACAAUGCGGCGCACCUCGAAUUUUACGUCAUCUGCGCCAGAGCUUCGAGCCAACUAAAAUUGACCUCAAUGAAUCGUCUUCGCUCCUUACUAGUGUCGUCAAUACUCCUGAUAAGUAUGUGAUGAGAAAUACAAAAUUACUGAGUCUAACUGGACAAGGUUUGAGUGAAGUACCAAAUUCUGUACUGGAAGAUGCGAGCGAAGCAUUGGUGACUUGCGUCGACCUGAGCAGAAAUAAAUUACGCGAAGUACCUGAAAAACUUUCGAGCAUAGAGACAGUCACGGAUCUCAAGCUAACGUCUAACAAUUUAUGCGUGGUCGACGAAUGGCUUGGGGAGAGAUUGAUACACUUGAGUUAUCUAGAUCUGAGCCAAAAUUUAUUGACAGAUUUACCUACGAGCUUGAGCAAUCUUCGACACCUUCGAGAAAUAAAUAUCUCGUUCAAUCGAUUUACAAAAAUUCCCGAUUGUAUAUACGAAAUAACGAGAUUGGAGAUUCUGAUUGGCAACGAUAAUCAGAUAACGGAAAUCGACGAGGUGUCGCUGAGAAAUUUGCAGAGGCUGGCGACCCUCGAUCUUUCAAACAACAACAUAGUCCAUGUGCCACCUGAGCUUGGCAAUCACACGCACUUGAGGCUUUUGCAGCUUGCAGUAACUUAGGCUAGAAAAUGGUGCAUCAUUUGUGUGUGCAUUGCCCACAGUAAAAAAAGAGCAAGGCCUUGAACAGCAGCACGAGCAUUUUUUUAGUUUCUCCCUUUUUCCCUGCACGUGCGUUUAUCGUUUUGAUCGAAAUGCAUUACGGAUCAUCACAAUCGUACAUUUUUUCAACGCACGCAACAGAUGCAGAACGCUUCUACUCACGGGAAAUUGUUUCAAACAACCCAGACACGCUACACUAACCAAAGGCACUGAAGAAAUUCUUUCAUAUCUGCGAGACCGUAUUCCUACGUGAAUGAAUAUCAAAAUCUAAAAAAUAUCAAAGAAGACAAUAUUUUGUAUUUAUUCGCUUGGUUAUACGUAAAUAAAUGUACGAAAUCGUUAUUCCGUGAAGGAAAAA
rnacentral:misc_RNA from 1 species